CUUACGUGAGGUACAUCAUGUGUUCACAGGGGAUAGUAUCAUGGUUGUCUUAUGUGAGUACGUCAUAUGCUCACAGGGGAUUGCAACAUGGUUGUCUUACGUGAGGUACAUCAUGUGCUCACAGGGGAUUGCAACAUUGUUGUCUUACGUGAGGUACAUCAUGUGCUCACAGGGGAUAGUAACAUGGUUGUCUUAUGUGAGGUAAAUCAUGUGCUCACAGGGGAUUGCAACAUGGUUGUCUUACGUGAGGUACAUCAUGUGCUCACAGGGGAUAGUAACAUGGUUGUCUUAUGUGAGGUACAUCAUGUGCUCACAGGGGAUAGCAACAUGGUUGUCUUACGUGAGGUACAUCAUGUGAGUUAAGGGGAUAGCAACAAUGCUGUCUUAGGUGAGGUACAUCAUGUGAGUUAAGGGGAUAGCAACAAU